UACGGGGGGGGCAAGCGUUGUUCGGAAUUACUGGGCGUAAAGGGCUCGUAGGCGGCCAACUAAGUCGGACGUGAAAUCCCCAGGCUCAACCUGGGAACUGCGUCCGAUACUGGAUGGCUUGAAUUCGGGAGAGGGAUGCAGAAUUCCAGGUGUAGCGGUGAAAUGCGUAGAUAUCGGGAAGAACACCAGUGGCGAAAGCGGCUCUCUGGGGACCACCUGACGCUGAGGCGCGAAAGCGUGGGGAGCGAACCGG
rnacentral:rRNA from 1 species